GCUGAUGCGUUGUUGGGUAGGGGAGCGUUCUGUAAGCCUGCGAAGGUGACCUGUGAGGGUUGCUGGAGGUAUCAGAAGUGCGAAUGCUGACAUAAGUAACGAUAAAGCGGGUGAAAAGCCCGCUCGCCGGAAGACCAAGGGUUCCUGUCCAACGUUAAUCGGGGCAGGGUGAGUCGACCCCUAAGGCGAGGCCGAAAGGCGUAGUCGAUGGGAAACGGGUUAAUAUUCCCGUACUUGGUGUUACUGCGAAGGGGGGACGGAGAAGGCUAUGUUGGCCGGGCGACGGUUGUCCCGGUUUAAGCGUGUAGGUGUGUGUUCCAGGUAAAUCCGGUUCACUUUAACACUGAGGCGUGAUGACGAGGCACUACGGUGCUGAAGCAACAAAUGCCCUGCUUCCAGGAAAAGCCUCUAAGCAUCAGGUAACAUCAAAUCGUACCCCAAACCGACACAGGUGGUCAGGUAGAGAAUACCAAGGCGCUUGAGAGAACUCGGGUGAAGGAACUAGGCAAAAUGGUGCCGUAACUUCGGGAGAAGGCACGCUGACACGUAGGUGAAGUGAUUUACUCACGGAGCUGAAGUCAGUCGAAGAUACCAGCUGGCUGCAACUGUUUAUUAAAAACACAGCACUGUGCAAACACGAAAGUGGACGUAUACGGUGUGACGCCUGCCCGGUGCCGGAAGGUUAAUUGAUGGGGUCAGCGCAAGCGAAGCUCCUGAUCGAAGCCCCGGUAAACGGCGGCCGUAACUAUAACGGUCCUAAGGUAGCGAAAUUCCUUGUCGGGUAAGUUCCGACCUGCACGAAUGGCGUAAUGAUGGCCAGGCUGUCUCCACCCGAGACUCAGUGAAAUUGAACUCGCUGUGAAGAUGCAGUGUACCCGCGGCAAGACGGAAAGACCCCGUGAACCUUUACUAUAGCUUGACACUGAACAUUGAGCCUUGAUGUGUAGGAUAGGUGGGAGGCUUUGAAGUGUGGACGCCAGUCUGCAUGGAGCCGACCUUGAAAUACCACCCUUUAAUGUUUGAUGUUCUAACGUGGACCCGUAAUCCGGGUUGCGGACAGUGUCUGGUGGGUAGUUUGACUGGGGCGGUCUCCUCCUAAAGAGUAACGGAGGAGCACGAAGGUUGGCUAAUCCUGGUCGGACAUCAGGAGGUUAGUGCAAUGGCAUAAGCCAGCUUGACUGCGAGCGUGACGGCGCGAGCAGGUGCGAAAGCAGGUCAUAGUGAUCCGGUGGUUCUGAAUGGAAGGGCCAUCGCUCAACGGAUAAAAGGUACUCCGGGGAUAACAGGCUGAUACCGCCCAAGAGUUCAUAUCGACGGCGGUGUUUGGCACCUCGAUGUCGGCUCAUCACAUCCUGGGGCUGAAGUAGGUCCCAAGGGUAUGGCUGUUCGCCAUUUAAAGUGGUACGCGAGCUGGGUUUAGAACGUCGUGAGACAGUUCGGUCCCUAUCUGCCGUGGGCGCUGGAGAACUGAGGGGGGCUGCUCCUAGUACGAGAGGACCGGAGUGGACGCAUCACUGGUGUUCGGGUUGUCAUGCCAAUGGCACUGCCCGGUAGCUAAAUGCGGAAGAGAUAAGUGCUGAAAGCAUCUAAGCACGAAACUUGCCCCGAGAUGAGUUCUCCCUGAGACUUAGAGUCUCCUGAAGGAACGU
rnacentral:rRNA from 1 species